rnacentral:rRNA from 1 species
CCUACGGGACGCAGCAGUGGGGAAUAUUGGACAAUGGGCGAAAGCCUGAUCCAGCCAUGCCGCGUGUGUGAAGAAGGCCUUCGGGUUGUAAAGCACUUUCAGUGGGGAAGAAAGCCUUGGGGCUAAUACCCUCGAGGAAGGACAUCACCCACAGAAGAAGCACCGGCUAACUCCGUGCAAGCAGCCGCGGUAAUACGGAGGGUGCGAGCGUUAAUCGGAAUUACUGGGCGUAAAGCGCGCGUAGGCGGUCUGAUAAGCCGGUUGUGAAAGCCCCGGGCUCAACCUGGGAACGGCAUCCGGAACUGUCAGGCUAGAGUGCAGGAGAGGAAGGUAGAAUUCCCGGUGUAGCGGUGAAAUGCGUAGAGAUCGGGAGGAAUACCAGUGGCGAAGGCGGCCUUCUGGACUGACACUGACGCUGAGGUGCGAAAGCGUGGGUAGCAAACAGGAUUAGAUACCCGGGUAGUC